rnacentral:rRNA from 1 species
AACGAACGCUGGCGGCAGGCUUAACACAUGCAAGUCGAACGAACGUAGCAAUACGUGAGUGGCGCACGGGAGAGUAACACGUGGGAACCUACCUAUCGGUUCGGAAUAACGUCGGGAAACUGACGCUAAUACCGGAUACGCCCCAAGGGGGAAAGAUUUAUCGCUGAUAGAUGGGCCCGCGCUAGAUUAGCUUGUUGGUGAGGUAAUGGCUCACCAAGGCUACGAUCUAUAGCUGGUCUGAGAGGAUGACCAGCCUCACUGGGACUGAGACACGGCCCAGACUCCUACGGGAGGCAGCAGUGGGGAAUAUUGGACAAUGGGGGCAACCCUGAUCCAGCCAUGCCGCGUGAAUGAUGAAGGCCUUCGGGUUGUAAAGUUCUUUUGGUGGGGACGAUGAUGACGGUACCCACAGAAUAAGCUCCGGCUAACUUCGUGCCAGCAGCCGCCGUAA